rnacentral:rRNA from 1 species
AUUGAACGCUGGCGGCAGGCUUAACACAUGCAAGUCGAACGAGUGGCGGACGGGUGAGUAAUGCUUGGGAAUCUCGCUUAUGGAGGGGGAUAACUACGGGAAACUGUAGCUAAUACCGCUUACCAUCGGAUGAGCCCAAGUGGGCUUAGGUAGUUGGUGGGGUAAAGGCUCACCAAGCCGACGAUCUCUAGCUGGUCUGAGAGGAUGACCAGCCACACUGGGACUGAGACACGGCCCAGACUCCUACGGGAGGCAGCAGUGGGGAAUAGUGCGCAAGGGGGGAAAGCUAAAGCAGCGAUGACGCGUGUAUGAAGAAGGCCUUAGGGUUGUAAAGUGCUUUCAGCGGGGAGGCGUUAAACGCAGAAGAAGCACCGGCUAACUCCGUGCCAGCAGCCGCGGUAAUUC